GUGCCAGUCGCCGCGGUAAUACCGGCAGCCCGAGUGAUGGCCGAUCUUAUUGGGCCUAAAGCGUCCGUAGCUGGCUGCGCAAGUCCGUCGGGAAAUCCACUCGCCCAACGAGUGGGCGUCCGACGGAAACUGCACAGCUUGGGACCGGAUGGCUCGAAGGGUACGUUCGGGGUAGGAGUGAAAUCCUAUAAUCCCGCACGGACCACCGAUGGCGAAAGCACUUCGAGAAAACGGACCCGACAGUGAGGGACGAAAGCUGGGAUCUCGAACCGGAUUAGAAACCCGAGUAGUCC
rnacentral:rRNA from 1 species